rnacentral:rRNA from 1 species
UACAGAGGUCUCAAGCGUUUGUUCGGAUUCAUUGGGCGUAAAGGGUGUGUAGGUGGCGCGCUAAGUCGGGGUGUGAAAUUUUCGGAGCUUAACUCCGAAACUGCAUUCGAUACUGGCGUGCUUGAGGACUGGAGAGGAGACUGGAAUUCAUGGUGUAGCAGUGAAAAUGCGUAGAGAUCAUGAGGAAGACCAGUGGCGAAGGCGGGGUCUCUGGACAGUUCCUGACACUGAGACACGAAGGCCAGGGGGAGCAAAACGGGG